rnacentral:misc_RNA from 1 species
GUUAUUUGAUCGAAUUGUGUUAUUAUGUAUUGUGAGAUUGUGAAAUUGAUUUAAACUCUUAUUGACAUAUACUGUCUAUUGAAUUCAACCAUGAUCUGACUUAUUGAAAAUUAUUGUGAUAUUAACAAAUGGAGUUUAAAUUCUUGUUGACAUUUAUUGUCUUGAAUUUAACUAUGGUUUUAAGUAUCCACUAUUGAUAUGAUUUAUGAAUUGUGAUUUA